ACAGGCUCCUUAGAUGAAGAGGUCAUUGAGCAUAGUUCUAAAGAACAUUCCAGCUAUGGUUCAUUUGCCUCCAAUCAGUUAUCUAGAUUUUGGCAAGAUAAAAGGCUCUUUUGCUUGAGAAGAUAUAUGUCAUAAAUGUUCUAGGUUAUAUUGCCUAUAAUUUUGUCACUGGUGCAUAUUCGUACCGGGGACCAAAUGCUGG